rnacentral:rRNA from 1 species
GAUGAACGCUGGCGGCGUGCCUAAUACAUGCAAGUCGAGCGAACAGACGAGGAGCUUGCUCCUCUGACGUUAGCGGCGGACGGGUGAGUAACACGUGGAUAACCUACCUAUAAGACUGGGAUAACUUCGGGAAACCGGAGCUAAUACCGGAUAAUAUAUUGAACCGCAUGGUUCAAUAGUGAAAGACGGUUUUGCUGUCACUUAUAGAUGGAUCCGCGCCGCAUUAGCUAGUUGGUAAGGUAACGGCUUACCAAGGCGACGAUGCGUAGCCGACCUGAGAGGGUGAUCGGCCCACUGGGAACUGAGACCCGGUCCAGACUCCUACGGGAGGCAGCAGUAGGGAAUCUUCCGAAAUGGGCGAAAGCUUGAGGGAGCAACCCCGGGUGAGGGAUGAAGGUCUUCGGAUCGUAAAACUCUUUUAUUAGGAAAAAAAAAAUGUGUAAGUAACUAUGCACGUUUUGACGGUACCAAAUCAAAAAGCCACGGCUAACUACGU